rnacentral:misc_RNA from 1 species
GGUGGGGAGUGCUGGAGAGAGAGAGAGAGGUGGAGAGUAAUGUUACAUACUGCUUAUGGCAAUGACUGUUGGCGUUUCAUUAUUUGUUUAAUUAUUGAUCUUGAUCUUGUAUAUAAUUAGAGUUGCUGAUGCACUAUAAAUUAACCCUGCAAACAUUAAUGAAAGUGCCACCAGAAGUUUCUAAACGAAAACUGCUGAGUUCAUGUUUGAAUUUCAGCUAUGAAACUGGAACUAAGAUCAAGGC